rnacentral:rRNA from 1 species
GAUGAACGCUAGCUACAGGCUUAACACAUGCAAGUCGAGGGGCAGCAUGAACUUAGCUUGCUAAGUUUGAUGGCGACCGGCGCACGGGUGAGUAACACGUAUCCAACCUUCCGUUUACUCAGGGAUAGCCUUUCGAAAGAAAGAUUAAUACCUGAUAGUAUGGUGAGAUUGCAUGAUAGCACCAUUAAAGAUUUAUUGGUAAACGAUGGGGAUGCGUUCCAUUAGGUAGUAGGCGGGGUAACGGCCCACCUAGCCGACGAUGGAUAGGGGUUCUGAGAGGAAGGUCCCCCACAUUGGAACUGAGACACGGUCCAAACUCCUACGGGAGGCAGCAGUGAGGAAUAUUGGUCAAUGGACGAGAGUCUGAACCAGCCAAGUAGCGUGAAGGAUGACUGCCCUAUGGGUUGUAAACUUCUUUUAUAUGGGAAUAAAGUAUUCCACGUGUGGGAUUUUGUAUGUACCAUAUGAAUAAGGAUCGGCUAACUCCGUGCCAGCAGCCGACGG